AGCUGUGGAUUGUCCUUUGGACAAUGGUAGGAGAGCGUUCUAAGGGCGUUGAAGCAUGAUCGUAAGGACAUGUGGAGCGCUUAGAAGUGAGAAUGCCGGUGUGAGUAGCGAAAGACGGGUGAGAAUCCCGUCCACCGAUUGACUAAGGUUUCCAGAGGAAGGCUCGUCCGCUCUGGGUUAGUCGGGUCCUAAGCUGAGGCCGACAGGCGUAGGCGAUGGAUAACAGGUUGAUAUUCCUGUACCACCUAUAAUCGUUUUAAUCGAUGGGGGGACGCAGUAGGAUAGGCGAAGCGUGCGAUUGGAUUGCACGUCUAAGCAGUAAGGCUGAGUAUUAGGCAAAUCCGGUACUCGUUAAGGCUGAGCUGUGAUGGGGAGAAGACAUUGUGUCUUCGAGUCGUUGAUUUCACACUGCCGAGAAAAGCCUCUAGAUAGAAAAUAGGUGCCCGUACCGCAAACCGACACAGGUAGUCAAGAUGAGAAUUCUAAGGUGAGCGAGCGAACUCUCGUUAAGGAACUCGGCAAAAUGACCCCGUAACUUCGGGAGAAGGGGUGCUCUUUAGGGUUAACGCCCAGAAGAGCCGCAGUGAAUAGGCCCAAGCGACUGUUUAUCAAAAACACAGGUCUCUGCUAAACCGUAAGGUGAUGUAUAGGGGCUGACGCCUGCCCGGUGCUGGAAGGUUAAGAGGAGUGGUUAGCUUCUGCGAAGCUACGAAUCGAAGCCCCAGUAAACGGCGGCCGUAACUAUAACGGUCCUAAGGUAGCGAAAUUCCUUGUCGGGUAAGUUCCGACCCGCACGAAAGGCGUAACGAUUUGGGCACUGUCUCAACGAGAGACUCGGUGAAAUCAUAGUACCUGUGAAGAUGCAGGUUACCCGCGACAGGACGGAAAGACCCCGUGGAGCUUUACUGUAGCCUGAUAUUGAAAUUCGGCACAGCUUGUACAGGAUAGGUAGGAGCCUUUGAAACGUGAGCGCUAGCUUACGUGGAGGCGCUGGUGGGAUACUACCCUAGCUG
rnacentral:rRNA from 1 species